CCUACGGGUGGCAGCAGUGAGGAAUAUUGGUCAAUGGGCGGAAGCCUGAACCAGCCAAGUCGCGUGAGGGAUUAAGGCCCUGCGGGUCGUAAACCUCUUUUGCCGGGGAGCAGUGGUCCGGACGCGUCCGGACCGGAGAGUACCCCGAGAAAAAGCAUCGGCUAACUCCGUGCCAGCAGCCCCGGUAAUACGGAGGAUGCGAGCGUUUUCCGGAUUUAUUUGGUUUUAAGGGUGCGUAGGCGGGCGUUUUAGCUGGCGGUAAAAUGUCGGGGCUCAACCCCGGCCGGCCGUGGGAACUGGGUGCCUUGAGUGGGCGAGAAGUAUGCGGAAGGCGUGGUGUAGCGGUGAAAUGCAUAGAUAUCACGCAGAACCCCGAUUGCGAAGGCAGCAUACCGGCGCCCUACUGACGCUGAGGCACGAAAGUGCGGGUAUCGAACAGGAUUAGAUACCCUAGUAGUC
rnacentral:rRNA from 1 species